UGCGAAGGGGGCUAGCGUUGCUCGGAAUUACUGGGCGUAAAGCGCACGUAGGCGGUCUUUUAAGUCGGGGGUGAAAUCCUGGAGCUCAACUCCAGAACUGCCUUUGAUACUGAGGAUCUUGAGUUCGGGAGAGGUGAGUGGAACUGCGAGUGUAGAGGUGAAAUUCGUAGAUAUUCGCAAGAACACCAGUGGCGAAGGCGGCUCACUGGCCCGAUACUGACGCUGAGGCACGAAAGCGUGGGGAGCAAACAGG
rnacentral:rRNA from 1 species